ACAGUUAGUUUUCUGUGUCAACUUACCAGGCUACAGUACCAAGUUAUUUAAUCAAACACCCAUCUCCGUGUUGUUGUGAAGAUAUUUUGUAGAUGUGGUUAACAAUCAGUUGACUUUAAGUAAAAUAAAUUAUCCUUGAUACUGUGAGUGGAUCCUAUGAAAUCAGUUAAAAGGCCUUAAAAUCAAAAAUCUAGGUUUUCAGGAGAAGAUGAAAUUCUGCCUCAAGGCCACAGCACUAACUCAGCCUGAGUUUCCAGUCUUUGGGGCUGCCCUACGGAUUUCGGGCUUGCAAGAUUAUAAUCGUGAGCUAAUUCCUAGAAAUAACUCUCUUAAUAGAAAUAUAUAUUGGUUCUGUUUCUCUGAAGAACCCUGACUGAUACAUAAGAAAAGAAAUGGAUUGGUGAAGUUAAUAAAAACAAAAGCACAGCAGGCUUUGAAAAUCAUCAAGUCCAAAUCACCUGGUUGUUCUGCAUAUGAGGAAACCAAGGCUCAGAGAAGUGAUGAAACUUGUCCAGUGUCACACAGCAAGUUAGGAAAGGCGGUGUCUUCACACUUCUCCAUCAAAGAGUGCCUGGUAGCCGUGUGUUUUCUAUAGCUUAUAUUUUAAUUUCUAAACGUCUAUGAAUUUUGCAUUCUAUUCCAUUAUAUAAUUGUGUUUUCCAUUUUUAAGUAGUGUUUUAUUUUCCAAAUCGUUUUCCCUAACAUUUCUGCUCUAGGAAGGAGUGCCACGCCUGUUCCGCGGACUUCUGACCCCGCACACCAACCCGAUGGAAGUAGUGAAGACAGUAGGGACGCACAGCACAGUGACUGAAGCCUGAAACCCUGAGGCUCAGUAAAACUUCAAUUCCUAGAAGCCUAAGGCAAUCGAAUGUUCUCGAAAUAGACCUUCCAGAAUCAAUGCAAUUUUCGGUUCAGCUUUUAGAUGCGUAUAAGAUACUCUUUCUUUGCUGUGGGAUUUUUCUGGUGCUUGAGAUCUUCUUUCCCGAGCGUUCUCCUUGCAGAGAUCUUUUGAUAUGGAGCGGCGUGCACGCAGCCCCUAGGUUGGGCGCUGAGGGGCAUCGCUGAUGCGAUCCACGUGCCUCCCCGUCCUCAGGCCGCUUCCUUUCCUGGUUUCCAGGUCCUCGUUUCUCCCAGCGCUGCCCUCCCCAUCUAAGCCCAAGUCGCCGUGAGCCCGCGCUGCCCCCUUGUGGCCAAAGCCCUCCCCAGCUCAGGAAACGGGAACGCUUGGCGGCCAGGCUGAGAGUCGGUGCGCGUGACCCGGCUUCUGCUCGCAGCAUCCAAGAAGUUGCAAUAACGUGGAAGGAUGGGGAACGGCGCCUCCCUGGCUAGCGUGAAACUCAGCCACAGCACAAAAUUGAGGCUGUUGGCCGUGAGCGGCUCUCAAAGCUGAAUUUGAGCCAUGCUAAAAUACUUACCUUGGACAUAAGCUAAGCUUUAAGUUUGUUGUUUAUAACUUCAAAGAGAGACAAGGGACAGUGACUUAAGAAUAUUCUAAGCUAUAAAUUUACAUGUGGACUUUGCUACACACCUGGGAUGCAGCCAGAUGAGUUUUGUUCCAUUGCAGUACAUCUGAUGACCAGAAUUCUAUCAGAGAAUGUUAAUGAACGAAAAGCCUGAGCUUUAAGACUGAGAUUGGUACCACGGGUAGUCAUGGCCACCUGCUGGCAGCGUAGGGUACUGCAGCCCAGCUAUGGUUCAGACUAAAAGCCGAGAAACGCCUGUGGUCCAGGGAAAGGUAUGAAGAUCAUAUAAACCGGCGGUGGACAGGAAAUGCCACAGUCAAGAAGAUGCCCCUGGGAUGCUGAGCUCUUACAACUCGAAAUCAACAGCUUUUACAAAUAAAACCGCUGCAAAAGCAAUAGCUCUUACAAAUAAAACUGAUAAUUUGGA